ACGGCCGGUAACUAAAAAUACAUGUAAAUUUAAAUAAGUUUGUUUGAAAAAUAAGAGAAAAUCCUUUAACAUUACAGCAAACGUCCUGUAACAAAAAGGAGCAAGACAUUUACCGUAGAUUUACAGGUCGUGACAAAAUUACGUGUCCUAAAUUAUAAACAUGUCCAAUAAUUUUCAUUUCCACAUCAGAAAAUUCAAUCCGCCUGGCACCCAUUUCAGUAUCAAAAGAGAGACGUCAAAAGCACGCGGUGCAUGAUAUUUUGUUUACGUUUUUGUGUUUCGGUUCUGUUUCUUUGUUGUGCUCCGUUCUGCCAUUCAUAUCAUGUCGAAAUCGGGAAGGACAUGGCUCGAUAUAAGACCAAACAAUCACAGAUCCAGAGAGGCUCAGGAUUGCACCAGGUUCCGUUUCAAGGGCUACACGCUAGGACUAGUACACUUUGUAAAAGGCAGUGUUGUUCCGUUGCGGGCGAAAGCACUAAGUGGUACCUAUUGGAAAAUCCUUCGCCUCUGCCCGAGUCCCCACCAGGAGCUGUUAUGUCAUUCAAACUUCUAAUCGAUACGAUUGUUCAAAUGGACACAAUCAGUUCACGAUUAUACAAGUUUGCUUCUCUUCAGUUUCAAGUGAUCCGGAAAGGAGUAAACAAUCGGAGUGCAGAAAAGUUUUAUGAAAAACUGGAUAGUUAAAACAAAUCCAAUGGAUGGAACGGUCGAAAAUUGUCCAAAGCUGCUCCGGGACCAACCAAAAUUUUCAACAAUCAGCCUGCAUGCUCAAAAGAAGAUGAUGUUUCGUGCUUCAUAUGCAAGGGUCGAAAAAACAUCUAAAUACGGUCGAAAAAUGAAGUUGAAUUUUAAUUAUGUCUUCAGCCAGCCGUGAUGCUAUUUUCGGCUAAAUUAUAAAGUGUUUUGGUAAGGAGGCUGGAAUUAAUAAGUGCUUGCCGUGCCGUGACUCUAAUAUGUGGAUGGUUAUCGAUAUUUCGAAAGAAUCGACAUUUGGUUCAGGCACUUGAACAUAUAUAUCUGAGAUCGGAAAAAGUUCAAUUCUACCCAAAGGUCGAACGAUGAAAAGGCCCCAGACAUAAAAUCAUUCGAAAAGACGUUGGAAUUUUGCGUUGGAAAGAAACCUUUGAAAAUCGUAAAUUCUCUCGGAAUGAAAAAGUUUGUCCACCGUUACUGGGAUUGGAACUGUACUUCCUGCUUCACAACCGUAAAGGAUCAAUCACUGUGACUAAUGCUACAAAUUAGAAUCCAGCUAGGUGCGAAAGAUAGUUGUAUACAAGAAAAUUCAAGAACUAAACUUGAACUUCGAUUGCAUUAGGCGCAGUUGCCCAACGUGUGAUGAAAGAACGUUUUUUCACCUUCAAAAUCCAUGGAAUCGACUGGUUUAGGAGAAAAUUUGUUGUAACUUAAGGUUCCUUGGCUUUGAGCGAAUUUGAUUGUUCCCAUUGUUUUUUUUUAUUCGGCAUACGUCGUUAAAUUUUGCUAGUACUAUGAUAAAUGACGUAUUUAAUUAAAAUGGUUAAUACUUGAAAGCAUCCCUCGAUUGUUGUCCACAAUAUGAAAGACCUGCCAUUCAUUGCAGCAGCUUUAAUAAUGCAACCAAUCUGGAAAAUGCUGUUUGUAGCUCUGUAAACAUUCGGUAGUGAUUUGAAUAAAUGCAACGAUGAUGUUAGUAAUAAAAAAAAUUAUUGAUA